rnacentral:tRNA from 1 species
CAGAAAAUAGUUUAAAUAAAAUAUUAAUUUUGGAGAUUAAAGUUAAGAAGUUUUUUCUUUUUUCUGA